UCCUAGUUAACCUAGGCAGUCUCACUAGAGUCCCCACCUUACGUGUUGGCAACUAAUGAUAAGGGUUGCGCUCGUUGCGGGACUUAACCCAACACCUCACGGCACGAGCUGACGACAGCCAUGCAGCACCUAUAUAAUAGUCCUUGCGGAAAAGUACAUUUCUGUACUCGCCCAUUACAUUUCGAGCCUGGGUAAGGUUCUUCGCGUUGCAUCGAAUUAAACCACAUGCUCCACUGCUUGUGCGGGCCCCCGUCAAUUCUUUUGAGUUUCACCCUUGCGAGCGUACUCCCCAGGCGGUAUACUUAUCGCGUUAGCUACGACACAGUCAGGGUUGAGCCUAACUACAUCAAGUAUACAUCGUUUACGGCAAGGACUAC
rnacentral:misc_RNA from 1 species